UAUUUUGAUCAUAUCUUUGAAUAUGAUCUAUAGGAUUGUAUUAAAAUUGAAUAAAGCUUUGUUUAUAUAUUGAUAAUGACAGUAUAUAUAUCGUGUCUUGACUAAUUGCGUGCCAGCAGUCGCGGUAAUACGUAAGAGACUAGUGUUAUUCAUCUUAAUUAGGUUUAAAGGGUACCUAGACGGUCAAUAUAGCUUCUAAAAUGUUAGUACUUGACUAGAGUUUUAUGUAAGAGGGCAGUACUUGAGGAGGAGAGAUGAAAUUCUAUGAUACCAAAGGGACUCGGUAAAGGCGAAGGCAGCCUUCUAUGUAAAAMCUGACGUUAAAGGACGAAGGCACAGAGCACAAACAGGAUUAGAUACCCAAGUAGUCUUUGCAGUAAAUGAUGAAUGCCAUAGGUUAGAUUAAGAUUUAGUAUUAUAAUUMAMAAUUAAAUAUUAAACAUUAUCUGGUCUAUAAAUGAAAGUGUAAGCAUUUCACCUCAAGAGUAAUGUGGCAACGCAGGAACUGAAAUCACUAGACCGUUUCUGACACCAGUAGUGAAGUAUGUUAUUUAAUUCGAUAAU
rnacentral:rRNA from 1 species